rnacentral:rRNA from 1 species
UACGUAGGGUGCAAGCGUUGUCCGGAAUUAUUGGGCGUAAAGAGCUCGUAGGCGGUCUGUCGCGUCUGCUGUGAAAACCCGAGGCUCAACCUCGGGCCUGCAGUGGGUACGGGCAGACUAGAGUGCGGUAGGGGAGAUUGGAAUUCCUGGUGUAGCGGUGGAAUGCGCAGAUAUCAGGAGGAACACCAAUGGCGAAGGCAGAUCUCUGGGCCGUAACUGACGCUGAGGAGCGAAAGCGUGGGGAGCGAACAGG